ACGCUCGACACCUACGGGAGCAGCAGUGGGGGAUAUUGCACAAUGGGGGAAACCCUGAUGCAGCAACGCCGCGUGAGGGAAGACGGUUUUCGGAUUGUAAACCUCUGUCAUCGGUGACGAUAAUGACGGUAGCCGAUGAGGAAGCUCCGGCUAACUACGUGUCAGCAGCCGCGGUAAUCUGAGCGGGCUGGCAAGGC
rnacentral:rRNA from 1 species